CAGCAGCCGCGGGAAUACGAAGGGGGCUAGCGUUGCUCGGAAUGACUGGGCGUAAAGGGCGCGUAGGCGGAUGGCACAGUCAGAUGUGAAAUUCCCGGGCUUAACCUGGGGGCUGCAUUUGAUACGUGUUGUCUAGAGUGAGGAAGAGGGUCGUGGAAUUCCCAGUGUAGAGGUGAAAUUCGUAGAUAUUGGGAAGAACACCGGUGGCGAAGGCGGCGACCUGGUCCUUGACUGACGCUGAGGCGCGAAAGCGUGGGGAGCAAACAGGAUUAGAUACCCCUGUAGUCCCUGUCUCUUAUAC
rnacentral:rRNA from 1 species